UACGUAGGGGGCAAGCGUUGUCCGGAAUCAUUGGGCGUAAAGAGCGUGUAGGCGGCCAGAUAAGUCCGCUGUGAAAUCUCGAGGCUCAACUUCGAGCUGUCGGUGGAAACUGUCUGGCUAGAGUCCGGAAGAGGAGAAUGGAAUUCCUGGUGUAGCGGUGAAAAUGCGCAGAUAUCAGGAGGAACACCGGUGGCGAAGGCGGGUCUCUGGGCCGAUACUGACGCUGAGGAGCGAAAGCGUGGGGAGCGAACAGG
rnacentral:rRNA from 1 species